ACGCUCGACACCUAGGGAGCAGCAGUGGGGAAUAUUGCACAAUGGGGGAAACCCUGAUGCAGCGACGCCGCGUGAGCGAAGAAGUAUUUCGGUAUGUAAAGCUCUAUCAGCAGGAAAGAAGAAAGACGGUACCUGACUAAGAAGCCCCCGGCUAACUACGUGCCAGCAGCCGACGGUAAUCUGAGGCGGCGUGGACGAACGGCG
rnacentral:rRNA from 1 species